AUAGGAUCAAGCGAAUAAGUGCAUCUGGUGGAUGCCUUGGCGAUGAUAGGCGACGAAGGACGUGAAAGCCUGCGAAAAGCGUGGGGGAGUUGGCAACCAAGCAUUGAUCCCACGAUGUCCGAAUGGGGAAACCCACCCUUUUAGGGUAUCCAUGACUGAAUACAUAGGUCAUGCGAAGCGAACCGGGAGAACUGAAACAUCUAAGUACCCCGAGGAAAAGAAAUCAACCGAGAUUCCCAAAGUAGUGGCGAGCGAAAUGGGAAGAGCCUGUGUGUGAUAGCAGAAGACUUAACAGAACGGAAUGGAAAGUCCGGCCAUAGUGGGUGAUAGCCCCGUAUGUGAAAAGUCAUUUGUGGUACUAAGCACACGACAAGUAGGGCGGGACACGAGAAAUCCUGUCUGAAGAUGGGGGGACCAUCCUCCAAGGCUAAAUACUCAUCAUCGACCGAUAGUGAACCAGUACCGUGAGGGAAAGGCGAAAAGAACCCCGGGAGGGGAGUGAAAUAGAACCUGAAACCGGAUGCAUACAAACAGUGGGAGCCUCCUAGUGGGGUGACUGCGUACCUUUUGUAUAAUGGGUCAGCGACUUACGUUCAGUAGCGAGCUUAACCGAGUAGGGGAGGCGUAGGGAAACCGAGUCCGAAUAGGGCGUUGAGUUGCUGGGCGUAGACCCGAAACCAAGUGAUCUAUCCAUGGCCAGGAUGAAGGUGCCGUAACAGGUACUGGAGGUCCGAACCCACUAGUGUUGCAAAACUAGGGGAUGAGCUGUGGAUAGGGGUGAAAGGCUAAACAAACUUGGAAAUAGCUGGUUCUCUCCGAAAACUAUUUAGGUAGUGCCUCACGUAUCACCUUCGGGGGUAGAGCACUGUUAUGGCUAGGGGGUCAUCGCGACUUACCAAACCAUGGCAAACUCCGAAUACCGAAGAGUGCGAGCGUGGGAGACAGACAUGGGGUGCUAACGUCCUGUGUCAAGAGGGAAACAACCCAGACCGCCGUCUAAGGUCCCAAAUGCAUAGUUAAGUGGAAAACGAGGUGGGAAGGCACAGACAGCCAGGAUGUUGGCUUAGAAGCAGCCAUCAUUUAAAGAAAGCGUAAUAGCUCACUGGUCGAGUCGUCCUGCGCGGAAGAUGUAACGGGGCUCAAACUAUGAACCGAAGACGCGGAUAUAUGCUUUGCAUAUAUGGUAGGAGAGCGUUCCGUAGGUCUGUGAAGGUGUCUUGUAAAGGAUGCUGGAGAUAUCGGAAGUGCGAAUGCUGACAUGAGUAGCGAUAAAGCGGGUGAAAAGCCCGCUCGCCGAAAGCCCAAGGUUUCCUGCGCAACGUUCAUCGGCGCAGGGUGAGUCGGCCCCUAAGGCGAGGCUGAAAAGCGUAGUCGAUGGGAAACAGGUUAAUAUUCCUGUACUUGGUGUAAGUGCGAUGUGGGGACGGAGAAGGUUAGGUUAGCCAUCUGUUGGAAUAGGUGGUUUAAGCGUGUAGGCGGGAGGUUUAGGCAAAUCCGGAUCUCCUUAACGCUGAGGCGUGAUGACGAAGUCUCCUAGAGACUGAAGUAACUGAUACCCUGCUUCCAGGAAAAGCCACUAAGCUUCAGCUUACAUUGAACCGUACCGCAAACCGACACAGGUGGGCAGGAUGAGAAUUCUAAGGCGCUUGAGAGAACUCGGGAGAAGGAACUCGGCAAAUUGACACCGUAACUUCGGGAGAAGGUGUGCCCAGAGUAGGUGAAGUCCCUGCGGACUGAGCCCAAAUGGGUCGCAGAGAAAUGGGGGCUGCGACUGUUUAUCAAAAACACAGCACUCUGCCAAGACGAAAGUCGACGUAUAGGGUGUGACGCCUGCCCGGUGCUGGAAGAUUAAAUGAUGGGGUGCAAGCUCUUGAUUGAAGUCCCAGUAAACGGCGGCCGUAACUAUAACGGUCCUAAGGUAGCGAAAUUCCUUGUCGGGUAAGUUCCGACCCGCACGAAUGGCGUAACGAUGGCCCCACUGUCUCCUCCCGAGACUCAGCGAAGUUGAAGUGUUUGUGAAGAUGCAAUCUCCCCGCUGCUAGACGGAAAGACCCCGUGAACCUUUACUGUAGCUUUGCAUUGGACUUUGAACAGACUUGUGUAGGAUAGGUGGGAGGCUAUGAAGCGGUGACGCUAGUCAUCGUGGAGCCGUCCUUGAAAUACCACCCUGGUGUGUUUGGGGUUCUAACCUUGGUCCGUCAUCCGGAUCGGGGACCGUGCAUGGUAGGCAGUUUGACUGGGGCGGUCUCCUCCCAAAGUGUAACGGAGGAGCUCGAAGGUUACCUAGGUACGGUCGGACAUCGUACUGAUAGUGUAAUGGCACAAGGUAGCUUGACUGCGAGACUGACACGUCGAGCAGGUGCGAAAGCAGGACAUAGUGAUCCGGUGGUUCUGAAUGGAAGGGCCAUCGCUCAACGGAUAAAAGGUACUCCGGGGAUAACAGGCUGAUUCCGCCCAAGAGUUCACAUCGACGGCGGAGUUUGGCACCUCGAUGUCGGCUCAUCACAUCCUGGGGCUGUAGCCGGUCCCAAGGGUAUGGCUGUUCGCCAUUUAAAGUGGUACGUGAGCUGGGUUCAAAACGUCGUGAGACAGUUUGGUCCCUAUCUGCAGUGGGCGUUGGAAAUUUGAGGGGGGCUGCUCCUAGUACGAGAGGACCGGAGUGGACGCACCUCUGGUGUACCGGUUAUCACGCCAGUGGUAUCGCCGGGUAGCUAAGUGCGGAAGAGAUAACCGCUGAAAGCAUCUAAGCGGGAAACUUGCCUCAAGAUGAGAUUUCCCUGGGACUUCAAGUCCCCUGAAGGGUCGUUCGAGACCAGGACGUUGAUAGGUCGGGUGUGGAAGCGCAGUAAUGCGUUAAGCUAACCGAUACUAAUUGCCCGUGCGGCUUGAUCCU
rnacentral:rRNA from 1 species